UUGAAGUCUGGAAGUGCCUUUUCUCAAUGAGUGUCCUGUUUAUGUCAGAAAUCGGUAAAAGAUGUGGGGAGCAAGCAGCUGUGACCCAACUCACCCAGAACAAUGCCAACUGACCUUGGACUCUGAGAAGUUACUUAGAAUGAACCAGGGGUAUAAUUUAUACCUGAUCUUGACCUCACAUCUUAAGGAUGAGAAGAGGAUAUUUGUUAUAAACAAUAAGCUUUCCCAUUCAGAAAUUACUCCUUAGUAUCUCUACUAUAAACAGGUGGAAGACACUU
rnacentral:lncRNA from 1 species